AGCCAGUGUAUUUUUCGCAUAUUCUAAUAUGUUUUCCUCAUUUCAAACGAAUUUGCCUGUUUUUCACCACUGCCGGUGAAUUUGCCUCAAAUACCAUGGUAUUUGCCAUUUUGGAUAUUCCUUUUUUACCCUCGCGAGCAGCUUCCCGCCAAAAGAUUUCGGAUAUGACGUUACAUAAUGAAAGCGAGCUAACGCGUAUUAGAACAUGUAUAAUUCCCGCGGUUCUAUGAAAAUAUCCACUUAUACCCUAAAUUAUGCAUAAACAUGUUUAUGAAUUGCAGCUUAAAUUGAUAGUAUUUAUCUGCACAUGUACAGAGAGUUUCAAUCCAAAUCUAUUCGGUGUAAUUAAACAGAUAUAUCAUGUUAUGGAGGGG
rnacentral:lncRNA from 1 species